UCCCUGGUGGUUCAGUGGCUAAGACUCUGUGCUUCGAAUGCAAAGGCCUGGGUUCGAUCCCUGGUCAGGGAA
rnacentral:tRNA from 1 species